rnacentral:rRNA from 1 species
UACGUAGGGUGCAAGCGUUAAUCGGAAUUACUGGGCGUAAAGCGCACGUAGGCGGACCAGAAAGUUGGAGGUGAAAUCCCCGGGCUCAACCUGGGAACUGCCUUUGUGACUGCAAGGCUAGAGUACGGCAGAGGGGGGGUGGAAUUCCGCGUGUAGCAGUGAAAUGCGUAGAUAUGCGGAGGAACACCGAUGGCGAAGGCAACCCCCUGGGCCUGUACUGACGCUCAUGCACGAAAGCGUGGGGAGCAAACAGG